GACGAACGCUGGCGGCGUGCUUAACACAUGCAAGUCGAACGGAAAGGCCCCCUUGUGGGGUACUCGAGUGGCGAACGGGUGAGUAACACGUGAGUAACCUACCCUUGACUUUGGGAUAACUUCAGGAAACUGGGGCUAAUACCGGAUAGGAGCUCCUGCUGCAUGGUGGGGGUUGGAAAGUUUCGGCGGUUGGGGAUGGACUCGCGGCUUAUCAGCUUGUUGGUGGGGUAGUGGCUCACCAAGGCGUUGACGGGUAGCCGGCCUGGGAGGGUGACCGGCCACAUUGGGCCUGAGCUACGGCCCGGCCUCCUCCGGGAGGCAGCAGUGGGGAAUAUUGCACAAUGGGCGGAAGCCUGAUGCGGCAACGCCGCGUGCGGGAUGACGGCCUUCGGGUUGUAAACCGCUUUCGCCUGUGACGAAGCGUGAGUGACGGUAAUGGGUAAAGAAGCACCGGCUAACUACGUG
rnacentral:rRNA from 1 species